CUCUAUUUUCCCCCUAAUUUUUUAUCAUUUACUACACAAAGACAACCCUAAUCGUUCUCUCUUCUAUCUUUUCCCCAUGGGUGGCUUGUUCUAUCUUCUCUAUCGUUUCCCACUGAUGGCACACACAGAGUCAUAGUCUUUCUUCUUUUCUUUCACUAAAUUUAUUUUGCUCUAAUGCCUCCAGUUAGCCAUGGCUAGGGCUACCAUCAAGGUUGAUUUCUUCAUAAUGGAGAGGGGUUAGUCCUCUUCCAAAUCUCAGUUCCAGAAGUUUCUUCAUCGCCAACGAAGAUUUCAAGGAUGGAACAAACCAAUCUACAUUUGGAAGGCAUGCAUGGUCCACACAAGUCAAGUUUUGUUAAUGAUUAAAAUACUUAUGUCAUUUUAUCUAACGAUGAAAUUCCAAUUCAUUAGAAUUUAUCUUGUAAUAUGAUUUUGUAAGCCUAAAUUAGGCUAAAUAUGUAAUAUACAUAAUUUUGUGUUAGUUUUACAUUUUUAAGCAUUUUUUUAUAUACAUUGUAUGUUUUUGUGGUU